GCUAUCCCCGUCUCUUCGGUUGCUUCUGAAUCAGCUUUUAGUACAGGGAAGCGUGUCCUUGACCCAUUUCGGAGCUCUUUAUCUCCUAGGACAGUUGAGGCCCUGAUUCUAACACAGAACUGGUUGCGCACACCUCUGAAUAUUGAUGUAUCAAGCUUUGCAGUUGAUAAUGCUGAAGAGUUUGAGACAGAUAUCCUAGGCCCCGUGACUGCAGAAGAUUGAUAGAGGGAGCUAAUGACAACUAAUGGUAUUUGAUUAAUGGUGCUACUUGGAAGAAACUAUGGAAUAAUCUAUCCUAUUGGAGUUUCACUUACACAUUAGCUGAAGAAUACCUGGAGUUUGCAUAUUAGUUGAAGAAUAAAACCUUAGUGAUAUCGUUCGUUCAUUCUUUAUUCAUUCAUUCUUUAUUCUUACAGAAGUAUCAAAACAGUUGAUUGGUUUUCUUUUUGUCUUGCUUUCAAUUUGCUUGAGAUUACAGUUCGGUUAAGAGAUUUUUCAGUAGAUUAUUGAAUUUAUUAUUAUUAUUAGCAAAUUUCUUUUUAGUUUUUACUGUUACAGAAAGUAAAGUCUUCAGUUUUCACAUAUUAA